GACGAACGCUGGCGGCGUGCUUAACACAUGCAAGUCGAACGGAAAGGCCCUGCUUUUGUGGGGUGCUCGAGUGGCGAACGGGUGAGUAACACGUGUGUAACCUGCCCUUGUCUUUGGGAUAACUUCUGGAAACUGGGGCUAAUAUCGGAUAGGAGCUACUGCUGCAUGGUGGGGGUUGGAAAGUUUCGGCGGUUGGGGAUGGACUCGCGGCUUAUCAGCUUGUUGGUGGAGUAGUGGCUUACCAAGGCUUUGACGGGUAGCCGGCCUGAGAGGGUGACCGGCGACAAUAGUACUAAGAGACGGCGCAGACGCGUACGGGAGGCAGCGGGGGGGAAUAUUGCGCAGUGGGCGGGAGCCUGAUGCAGCAACGCCGCGAGCGUGAUGACGUCCUUCUAGUUAUAAACCGCUUUCGCCGGUGACAAAGCGUGAGUGACGGUAAUGAGUAAAGAAGCACCGGCUAACUACGUG
rnacentral:rRNA from 1 species